rnacentral:rRNA from 1 species
UACGAAGGGGGCUAGCGUUGUUCGGAUUCACUGGGCGUAAAGGGUGCGCAGGUGGGUUGGCAAGUUUGAUGUGAAAGCCCCGGGCUUAACCCGGGAAUGGCAUUGAAUACUGCUGAUCUGGAGGAUUGGAGGGGGGACUGGAAUUCUUGGUGUAGCAGUGAAAUGCGUAGAUAUCAAGAGGAACACCAGUGGCGAAGGCGAGUCCCUGGACAAUACCUGACACUGAGGCACGAAAGCCAAGGGAGCAAACAGG